AUGCAGUGGGGAAUUUUGGACAAUGGGCGCAAGCCUGAUCCAGCAAUGCCGCGUGAGUGAAGAAGGCCUUCGGGUUGUAAAGCUCUUUUGUCAGGGAAGAAACGGUGGAGGUUAAUACCUUCUGCUAAUGACGGUACCUGAAGAAUAAGCACCGGCUAACUACGUGCCAGCAGCCGCGGUAAUACGUAGGGUGCAAGCGUUAAUCGGAAUUACUGGGCGUAAAGCGUGCGCAGGCGGUUGUGCAAGACAGAUGUGAAAUCCCCGGGCUCAACCUGGGAAUUGCAUUUGUGACUGUACGGCUAGAGUGUGUCAGAGGGGGGUAGAAUUCCACGUGUAGCAGUGAAAUGCGUAGAGAUGUGGAGGAAUACCGAUGGCGAAGGCAGCCCCCUGGGAUAACACUGACGCUCAUGCACGAAAGCGUGGGGAGCAAACAGGAUUAGAUACCCUGGUAGUCCACGCCGUAAACGAUGGGUACUAGGUGCUUGGGGGAGCGACCCCUUGGGUGCCGGCGCUAACGCAGGAAGUACCCCGCCUGGGGAGUACGGCCGCAAGAUUAAAACUCAAAGGAAUUGACGGGGACCCGCACAAGCGGUGGAUGAUGUGGAUUAAUUCGACACAACGCGAAGAACCUUACCAGGGCUUGACAUGCACCGGAAAGCGGCGGAAACGUCGUCCUCCCGCAAGGGAUCGGUGUGCAGGUGUUGCAUGGCUGUCGUCAGCUCGUGUCGUGAGAUGUUGGGUUAAGUCCCGCAACGAGCGCAACCCCCGUGGCAUGUUGUAUCACUCAUGCCAGACUGCCGAGAGAAACUCGGAGGAAGGUGGGGAUGACGUCAAGUCAGCAUGGCCCUUACGUCCUGGGCUACACUCACGCUACAAUGGCCGGUACAACGGGUUGCCAAACCGCGAGGUGGAGCUAAUCCCUUAAAGCCGGUCUCAGUUCGGAUUGCGGGCUGCAGCUCGCCUCCAUGAAGCUGGAGUUGCUAGUAACCGUGGGUCAGCACACCGCGGUGAAUAUGUUCCCGGGCCUUGUACACACCGCCAUCCAUAUGACUU
rnacentral:rRNA from 1 species